CCUACGGGAGGCAGCAGUGAGGAAUAUUGGUCAAUGGACGGAAGGCUGAACCAGCCAAGCCGCGUGCAGGAAGAAGGCCCUAUGAGUUGUAAACUGCUUUUGUAAAAGGGUAAAGCUGAAUACGUGUAUGCAGCUGAAAGUACUGUACGAAUAAGGAUCGGCUAACUCCGUGCCAGCAGCCGCGGUAAUACGGAGGAUGCAAGCGUUAUCCGGAUUUAUUGGGUUUAAAGGGUGCGUAGGCGGAUUUAUAAGUUAGAGGCGAAAUGUCCGAGCUUAACUCGGGAACUGCCUCUAAUACUGUUGCUCUUGAGUGUACGUGCGGUAUGCGGAAUGUGUGGUGUAGCGGUGAAAUGCUUA
rnacentral:rRNA from 1 species